rnacentral:rRNA from 1 species
GGUGAAUAUUGGCCAAUGGGCGAAAGCUUGAUCCAGCCAUGCGGGGGGUGUGAAGAAGGUCUUGGGAUUGUAAAGACCUUAAAGUGGGGGGGAGGGGUUUCUGGCAAUAAUCCAGGAAUUUUGACGUUACGGACAGAAUAAGAACCGGCAAACUCCGUGCCAGCAGCCGCGGUAAUACGAAGGGUGCAAGCGUUAAUCGGAAUUACUGGGCGUAAAGCGCGCGUAGGUGGUUCGUUAAGUUGGAUGUGAAAGCCCCGGGCUCAACCUGGGAACUGCAUCCAAAACUGGCGAGCUAGAGUAUGGCAGAGGGUGGUGGAAUUUCCUGUGUAGCGGUGAAAUGCGUAGAUAUAGGAAGGAACACCAGUGGCGAAGGCGACCACCUGGGCUAAUACUGACACUGAGGUGCGAAAGCGUGGGGAGCAAACA